GAGGCGUUGAGCUAACCAAUACUAAUUGCCCGUGAGGCUUGACCAUAUAACACCCAAGCAAUU
rnacentral:rRNA from 4 species